rnacentral:rRNA from 1 species
UACGGGGGGAGCAAGCGUUGUUCGGAUUUACUGGGCGUAAAGGGCGCGUAGGCGGUAGCACAAGUCAGUUGUGAAAUCUCCGGGCUUAACUCGGAAAGGUCAACUGAUACUGUGCGACUAGAGUGCAGAAGGGGCAACUGGAAUUCUCGGUGUAGCGGUGAAAUGCGCAGAUAUCAGGAGGAACACCAAUGGCGAAGGCAGCUCGCUGGGACGGUACUGACGCUGAGACGCGAAAGCGUGGGGAGCAAACAGG